rnacentral:misc_RNA from 1 species
AAGUCGUAACAAGGUUGCUGUAGGGGAACCUGCGGCAGGAUCACAAGAAAUUUCUGGUGGGUGGGUGUGGUGUGCAAGAAGUGGGAUUGAUUGGAUCGACAGACCGACAUGCAAGUGGAGGUCGUCCGUCAGACCGACCCAGUGCACAUGCACAGCAUCAUACAUACCACGCUUGCUUGCCAAACCAUGAGGAGUCUGCCAACCACAACCAGCUUGUUCUUGGACAGACUCUUUGGUACCCAGUGAAUUGUACUGACCUAGCGGGGCAGAACUUUAGAGCUCAGAACUCUCUGUCUAGAGUUGGACUCCCCGCAGUGGAUCAUCGAUCGAUCGUCGAUCAUCUUAAACUCUUCUUCUCGUGUGUUGCAGCAUCAUCAACAAAACAAAACAAAAUGACAACUUUGAACCACGGAUCUCUUGGCUCUC